rnacentral:rRNA from 1 species
GAGUGGCGGACGGGUGAGUAACACGUGGGUAACCUGCCCAGAAGCAGGGGAUAACACCUGGAAACAGAUGCUAAUACCGUAUAACAGAGAAAACCGCCUGGUUUUCUUUUAAAAGAUGGCUCUGCUAUCACUUCUGGAUGGACCCGCGGCGCAUUAGCUAGUUGGUGAGGUAACGGCUCACCAAGGCGAUGAUGCGUAGCCGACCUGAGAGGGUAAUCGGCCACAUUGGGACUGAGACACGGCCCAGACUCCUACGGGAGGCAGCAGUAGGGAAUCUUCCACAAUGGACGCAAGUCUGAUGGAGCAACGCCGCGUGAGUGAAGAAGGGUUUCGGCUCGUAAAGCUCUGUUGUUAAAGAAGAACGUGGGUGAGAGUAACUGUUCACCCAGUGACGGUAUUUAACCAGAAAGCCACGGCUAACUACGUGCCAGCAGCCGCGGUAAUACGUAGGUGGCAAGCGUUAUCCGGAUUUAUUGGGCGUAAAGCGAGCGCAGGCGGUCUUUUAAGUCUAAUGUGAAAGCCUUCGGCUCAACCGAAGAAGUGCAUUGGAAACUGGGAGACUUGAGUGCAGAAGAGGACAGUGGAACUCCAUGUGUAGCGGUGAAAUGCGUAGAUAUAUGGAAGAACACCAGUGGCGAAGGCGGCUGUCUGGUCUGUAACUGACGCUGAGGCUCGAAAGCAUGGGUAGCGAACAGGAUUAGAUACCCUGGUAGUCCAUGCCGUAAACGAUGAUUACUAAGUGUUGGAGGGUUUCCGCCCUUCAGUGCUGCAGCUAACGCAUUAAGUAAUCCGCCUGGGGAGUACGACCGCAAGGUUGAAACUCAAAAGAAUUGACGGGGGCCCGCACAAGCGGUGGAGCAUGUGGUUUAAUUCGAAGCUACGCGAAGAACCUUACCAGGUCUUGACAUCUUCUGCCAACCUAAGAGAUUAGGCGUUCCCUUCGGGGACAGAAUGACAGGUGGUGCAUGGUUGUCGUCAGCUCGUGUCGUGAGAUGUUGGGUUAAGUCCCGCAACGAGCGCAACCCUUAUUACUAGUUGCCAGCAUUCAGUUGGGCACUCUAGUGAGACUGCCGGUGACAAACCGGAGGAAGGUGGGGACGACGUCAAAUCAUCAUGCCCCUUAUGACCUGGGCUACACACGUGCUACAAUGGAUGGUACAACGAGUCGCGAAACCGCGAGGUUUAGCUAAUCUCUUAAAACCAUUCUCAGUUCGGACUGUAGGCUGCAACUCGCCUACACGAAGUCGGAAUCGCUAGUAAUCGCGGAUCAGCAUGCCGCGGUGAAUACGUUCCCGGGCCUUGUACACACCGCCCGUCACACCAUGAGAGUUUGUAACACCCAAAGCCGGUGGGGUAACCUUUUAGGAG